CCUAUCGAUCCCCUCGAGGUCACAAGCACACAGCGCCGCCGAUCCUCUCGAUCCACCCCUCCCUAUGCGACCUCUAUCCUUCCCUCUCCUCGCUCUCCGCCGCCGCCCCCAUCUCCCGCUCCGACACCGCCCCUACUGCUCCGCCGGCCCGACGCAGCCGGAUCUCACAGCCCGAUCUCAUGCGAUCUCACAGCCGCCGCCGCCGAUCUCACAGCCGGAUCUCGUGCGAUAUCGCGCCGCCGACGUACGGAGUCGCCUCCACGGUACGGGAUCACCGCCGCUGACGUAAGAGGUCACGUCGCUGCCACCACUGACUUACCCGCGCUGCUCGCUGCUCUGCUCGUGUCACGCCUCCUCGGUCAUGUUUGCCGCCAUGGCCACCAGUCCCCACCUCGAUCUGUCAUCCCCUUGACCAGCCACCCAUGUCCUAGCCAUGUUGUUGUUGCUGAUCUCCCCUCCCCAACCCGUAGGUGCACACCACCCCCUUCCCCUCCCUCCAUUCCCCCCGCUAGCGGCCUCCUUCAAUAGAUGUGGGCGCUGCAGGUGGACAAUAUGGAGGUUCCGGCUGUCGCUGUUGUCAAACGACAAGAUGGGUAGCGAGACAGCCGUCGUGACUUCAGGUAUGUUUGCUUGAGUGUGUCUUUUUUUUUCCUUGUGCGCUGCUUCAAUUUCUUUAACUAACCCGCCAGCGGAGAAGGUGCUCUGGAUUGAGAAGGUUGGUGAGCACGCUAAGAUGCAACAUACUCUAGGGGCCGCAGUGACCAAAUUGUUAAGAAUAUUAGACUCUGGUGUCGUGAUGUUGUAUACAAGAUAUUGAUUGGCAUCAAAUAGUUUCAGGUUUGUUCUUGAAUUCGAUUCAUGCUGUUCAUGGCGUCUGCUUAUAAUCAGGUUUAAAUUUCUGGUGUUUCAUGUAAUUUAUUGUCAACAUUAUGUAUCUUUUCUUCUAUAACCCUUAUUGCUCAAAUCAGAUUUGGUAUCUCCAAUAAGUCCCCAAUCUCAGGCACAUUUAGUUUCAUGUUGAAUGCAUUAUAGCCAAUUCAAUUUAUUUUGUACGUAUAGCUAUUGAUCCUUUAUGAUUCAUGAGAUUGUUGACAAAUUGCAAAAUUAUUCUUUGGUUAUAAUUCUAUGGUUCUCUCUGGCUGCAGACAACUUUUUACCUCUGCAUACAUGUUCCUUAUGACAAUUAAAGGAUACUAAUUUCUUUUUUUUAAUAUUACAGGAGAUGCGUAUACGUAAGUUUGACUUUCAGAUAAUACAUGCCAAAUUAAUGUUAUGUCGUGCAUGAAGGCAGGGUAAUGGUGAAGCUUCAUUCUGACGGUCUAGAAGUUUUUAUUUGGUGUUUCCCUCGGCAGGGUAAUGGAGGAAGAUGAGACUUACCCCAGUUUUCAGUGCAUGGUUGGAGAAGAGGAUAAGAGGAGGCUUGAAUCUUGAGGUGACAAGGGUAGUCAUCUGGUGCAACUAAAGGUUCAGCUUCAUACUUGUGAUGAUAUUGUUCAGUUUGCCUGGAUGAUUGCCCUUGUACUACUCUUUCAGAAGGAAGGAGGUAAAUGGAGCAAAAGGCACGAGGAGAAAGGAGUAACGCCAUAGGGACGACGUUGUCGGCAGCGCCUUUGAAAGGAUUCGCCAUGGAGAAGCUACGGUGGCUGACCAUCUUGCUCGGGAAGUGGGAAGGAUGUCAUUCGGAACGCCCCUAGGUUCUAGGGGCGUGCGUCCAUGCGGCGGCCGAGGUGGCCACAAGGAGUUGGAUUGGGCACUUGCCAAUCAAAGCGUGUCGUUGCUCAAGGUACCAACACCCUGGUUUUGACAGAAAGUUUCUUGGCAAGCUGUGCAUGGUUGGGACUGUUUCGUGCAUGCGUCAGUGGCAUCCAUGUCGCCGUCGCUUGCUGUUAGUUUUUCUUGCAUUCCAAAUUACUUUCUGUGGUGUUCCUCAAUGCAUGAAUUAUUUUCAAUAUGGACGUGAGUCUGAAAAAUGUGGUACGGCUAUCACCAUUUUUUUAAACUGCAGAUGUUUGAAGCUGAGAAACAUGAUAUUUUAUUUUCCAUGUUGCUCUAUCUCUGUAUUGUUAGAUCACGGGAACUUUUAUCACAUAUGUUUGUGUGCAGUAUGCCAAUUUAUCCGUGAUGGCAACCUAACAUUUGGAGGUAACGACGGCCUCACCAGAGUAAGGGGAAAAUUGUGGGAGUGGACGCACAUCAUGUAGGUGAAACGGGAGAGUUUGUGGUCGUAGCAGCUGUGUUCUUCUUACAGUUUUCCUUCUCUGAAUUGCAUCUUUGGUACAUCUAUAUUUAUUAUUUAAUAGCAUGGAGAGAAAGUUAUAAAUCGGUAUUUUCAUCUCUUAUGCAAUUGAUUCUGUACAGAGGAAAAGUAUGCACUCUUUUCUCAUUCUUUCACAAUAUAUCCUCCUUUUGAUGUCUUAUCUAACCUGCCCAUGCCUCAGCAAUGACACAUUUGAGGAGUCUGAACUCCGAAAGAAGGUGACGACGAGUUGAACCCAUGGAAUUAUGGUAUAUGUUUGUUCUUUAUUAUUUAUGGUCCAAAGUUUCUCCUUCGCUCACUGGUGAAUUUACUUUUCUCUCGCUGCAUGUCAAGUAACCGAGUUGUUUAAUUUCCUAUGCUUAACUUGUGUUGUUAAGUGCGGAGUGUCCACUGCAUCAUCAUAGUUAAAUCAACCGUAAAAGUAUGUAUCUGAUUUAAGAAUGUGGCUGUGAUGACCAAGUUACUGCAAUUAUUGGAGAAGGCUUUAGUUUUUAAUAAUAAGAUAUCAUUAGGAAAAGGCUAGCCUAGCUAGGAUCAGUUACUGCAGUUCUUAGUUAGGUUCUGAGUAGUGAGUAUCACAACUGAUUUAAUAACAACUCUACUAUCUAAAUGCCUAAUUGCAUAUCCUAUUCUUGCUGCUAUCUGUUCUGAGCUCCAUGUCUUGCAAAAUUCCAUAUAGAACUGGUAGAAGAUCUAGCCUUCUAAUAUUUCGUACAAGAUGUAUAAAUGCUUUGGGUACAAGUUGUAUAUAUGGAUUUGAGGACUAACUAGAAACAAAAGGAAAGAGGUGAUUUAAAAAAUGUCGAACCACUCUAGACGGUUACAAAUGCAAUCUUUCUUAUUACACAUAUUUGCAUGCAAGUUUAAUAUGUAUGUUGCCUCACUUUUUACGCUUUUGUGUAAAGAAGGACCUACUAAUUUAGUGUUUUAGCUCCGUUUUGCUGAACUUAGUAUUGUUUCUUACGCAUUUCUUUAGCUUUCGUGUAAUACCAGACGGCGUCAUGGACGUUACUGGAUGCAGAGCGGGACCUUACCCGGCUCUGGCCAUGAGACACCUCAUGAUGUGUCAAAACCUGUCCUGCAAAAUAAAGGAGCGUUGAGGAUGAUGGCUUUCAUGUUCGCUUGGAUGAUGCUGGUUCCGUGGUGGCCUUUGAUAUGUCAGGUAAGAUCUUGGGGUAUCAUAUUUGCUGAUUCUCCAUUAGAUUCCUCUGUUCAUUGCAGGGUGUGUCCUGUUGUGUUGGGCUUGGUGUGAUGCGGGUCGCCUGUGCGGAUAUGCUGUGUCCGCGGGCCAUCCGUGUGAUAUUUGUGUUCAUCAAUGCAAGAGGAAAGUAACUUGAUAGUUUGAAAUAAAAAUGAUUCCGACAAGAUUUGGUCAUGGUGUAUUAUUCUUAGACUAACUUACCCUUUUCUUGUAGAAACUACUCCCUCCGUUCCUAAAUAUAAGUCUUUUAGAGAUUCCAAUAAGGGACUACAUACUGAGCAAAAUGAGUGAAUCUACACUCUAAAAUAUGUCUAUAUACAUCCGUAUGUAGCAUGUGUUGAAAUAUCUAAAAAGAGUUAUAUUUAGAAACAGAGGGAGUAGAAUGAUAUGUCUAGAGAAUAAAUGUGCAUGUAAAUUUGGUACACAGUUUUAGUACAUGUGCAUUUCAUUACAAUUAUAAGUAGGUUUCUAGCAUGCUUUUAUUUGAGGUCUUUGCUAAGUGGUGUGUGUGGCUGAAUUAGAUGGAAAUCCUUCCAUCGGUUAUUGCUGGUCAUAUAGAGUUUACCUUUGAUUUCCUAUAUGGUGUACUUGGGUCCAGUUCUCGUGAGAAAAUUUGAUGUAGUUUCUGCAUUAAUUAGCCUGGUCGGUAUCAUUUGUUGAACCAUCAAGCUAUAUAGUCACAUGCUAUCUUGUAGAAGGCAUCAAGAAUCUACCAAAAGUAGAGCCAUGAUAACUUCAUUCAGUCAAGACUGUAUUACAAGAAUUUCCAACCGAUAAUAAGAUCCUGGUUUUCAGUAAUGCUUGUAUAAUGAGGGACAUUCUCAAAACUAUAUAUUUUUAUUCAUUAAAUAUUAUUUCAAUUUUUAUUACUCAGUGUGCAACUCCUUAAAGCUACGAUGUUUGAAAAAUAAAUUGGAUAGUAUUAUGAGGGAUAUGUUUGACACAAUUGAUGUUGAACCACUGAAAAUUUAUGGCCCCGUUGGAACGCAUGGGCACCUAAUUAUAGAUUAUUUGCAGCUAAUACUUGUUCUCACCUUCUGAUUUUUUAUUCACACCAUGUUUCAAGAGACCAUGUGCAGCUCCAUAGAUGACAGCAAGCUCGCCAUGACUGGGGGUGGAGCUGAAGAUGUACCACGACUUUUCGUCACUACCCUCGAAAGUUGGAAGGUUAACCAUACCGUGUAACGUAUACUGAGUUGUAUGAGAACUAAUUACAGAACAAAUAUAUUUUUCAAGGAAUUUGAAAAAAAAUAUCAUGUUUUUCCAUCGA